UAAUCCCUCAAGGAACACGUUGCUUCGCGGGAGGACAACCGGUGCACCUCAUAAUUCCGCGGAAAACGACAAACAAGCCGCUUCAACCACAGGCAAGGUGCGGGUGAAAGAGACAUUUUCAGAAGACCUUCGGAUCAGAGAAAUACAACCCAGAAGCUCUGUGUCAACAUCAGGUGCAGCAAUUUAUCCUCAAGUAAAUCAACCAGAUGGGAUGGCCCUGUAAAUUAUAGUAUUAGUUACAUGAUGGCCAAAACAUACAGCUACAGAAUAAUGGAAGUGAUUGUGCAGUCCCCAGGAGUGGCAGAAUUUAAAGAAAGAUGGCCUCCCCUCUUCGAACCAUUCAAGAUCAGUGAGGAGUUUCGUAGGUGCACUGCAGUUCCACUACAGUCAACAUUGAUGUCCCAGCUGGACAGUCCAAAGCUCCUGCAGCUGUUCGAUGCAACGUCAGAGGGUCAGCACAUCAAGAACAUGCUGAUGGAACUGAUACAGGGAACAAGAGAGACAAAUAUACACGAGGAACUGAAAACUCAAAGGUUGAGAAUCUACACUUGCCAGGAGCAAGAUGCUGCUGGUAUUCUCAUCGAGGAUGUCCCAGUGCUUCCUGGUCUUGAAACUCCAGCAAGAGUAUGCUGCCUACUCCUCAGAUUAGCAUAUGCCCUAAAUCUGGAAUAUACACCCAAACUCUCAGACAUUUGAGGUCUUCUAAAGGUUUUACUAGACUUUCUGCAGCCAAAACCAACCGCAGCUUCUUGCCUAAGCUGGUCCACCAUGAACAGUUUUAGCUCCUGUUCAACAACGUCGUACCUGGGUUUCAAAGACAGCUGUGGAGCUUAAUGGAGAGCACCCACCAACAAGUCAAUUGUUCUUUUGUUAAUUGUCCUUGUAGACAGGUGUAGGUGGAGUUUAUGAGGAAUGUUUUCACUGUGAAGAUUUUAUCAGCUGCAGGUCAGAAUUUGUAUUCUGUAAAUUGUUGAAGUGUUCGAAUAUGAAUCUUAAAAAUCAAAAACUUUGUUUGUUAUCAUACCCUUGGGCAUAUGUGCAUAUGCUAAAACACUGUUCUGUUCAGCACUUGAAGAUCAGGUCACAGUUUACUUUGAUCUGUUUUAGUUUUUAAAACGGAAAUUGUAUUUAAACAGCUAAGAACUGUGAAGUUGAAGAAAAUGCUUUUGAUUAAUAAA